UCUGAAAGGGAGCCACCUUAUAGACUCAACUACAGGCAGGUUUUCUAAAGUAGCAGCUAGGACAAUCUGGGCACAAUUACACCCACUUUAAUUUCAUAAUGAAUGUUUUUUCCAAAGGACAGAUGUAAUUUUGACUGACCUUCCAGGCUGAUAUGAUUGCUAACGUCUGCCUGGAUCUUACUGAGUGUUUACCCACAGCGUAAUGUGGUGUUUAAAGUCAUCUCGGUGUGUCGCAUUUCAGCUCUGCCCUAGUUUAACUGUGACUUGCUGCACCUUAUAGUCCAGAAGUCAGAUUAGUUUGUAUCAGUGAAUCCAUGAAUAAAAGUAGAACUGGAUAACUUUGAUUGAUCUAGGGGCUUAUUGACACAGUUGCUCGACAGGAAAGGAAGUCAGAGACAGAAGAGGCCACCUACAACUAAGGGGCUCCAGACCAGGAUUCGAACCCGCUUCAGCUGCAUCAUCCAGCUGUAGUCUCUACGAGCCGUCUGCUAAACCAGACAGCACCCAGCUGCAGCUCAAACACUCGCAGAGUUUUCGCUCCUCAUUUGUGAUGCUUCACCAAGAACAGUGGCGCCUUUUUCAUUUUUUUUAGAGACACGUAGGCUAGCGUUUCUUUAUUUCUUGAACAACUUUAGUGUUUCUGUUGAUC